UCACGGGUGGCCGAGGGGAGGUUAAGGCGUUGGACUCGAAAUCCAAUGGGUUUCCCGCACAGGUUCGAAUCCUUUUUCGUGAC